AACGAACGCUGGCGGCAUGCCUAACACAUGCCAGUCGAACGAGACCUUCGGGUCUAGUGGCGCACGGGUGCGUAACGCGUGGGAACCUGCCCUUAGGUUCGGAAUAACUCCCCGAAAGGGGUGCUAAUACCGGAUAAUGUCUUCGGACCAAAGAUUUAUCGCCUUUGGAUGGGCCCGCGUUGGAUUAGCUGGUUGGUAGGGUAAAAGCCUACCAAGGCGACGAUCCAUAGCUGGUCUGAGAGGAUGAUCAGCCACACUGGGACUGAGACACGGCCCAGAAUCCUACGGGAGGCAGCAGUGGGGAAUAUUGGACAAUGGGCGAAAGGCUGAUCCAGCAAUGCCGCGUGAGUGAUGAAGGCCGUAGGGUUGUAAAGCUCUUUUACCCGGGAUGAUAAUGACAGUACCGGGAGAAUAAGCUCCGGCUAACUCCGUG
rnacentral:rRNA from 1 species